UAUAAUUAUUAAGAAACAAGAGCUCUGGUGAAAUUGGGCUGCACAAGAUUUUUUUAAAAGAAAGUGAAGUCCAAGAUCUGAAUGUUACUGUGAGCCAUUGUUGAGGCAAAGAGCAGUAAGUGGCAAUAUAAGUAAGGGUGAAGAGGUAUUAGCUGUGCUAUAUUGUCAAGUGAUAACACACAGGCUGACUUUUCAGCACCUUGUGAGUAAGCUGAAAAUGAAACAGUCUACAGGUGGGAGCCUUAAUGAAUGGCACUGUCAGGAGAUAAUUUCUCAUGGUUGAAGAAAUCUUUUAUUCUGCAGGGAAGUGAAGUAACCUGGCAUUAUGGGCCUGUGCCAGAUUCCGCUGCAGACAAUGGAGCGAUUUCAGAGGCCACUGCGUCUGGAAGGAAGAAUGACAACCCACAGUUGGCUCAAAUGAGUCCCCCCAUUGCUCACUGCUGAUGCAAUGCAGCAGCAAAGUCCUUGGAGUUCCCCACUGCAAUGACAGUUCACCAGCUGGCUCCCUCUACUUGCCCUGGGACACAGACCCCUGCUCAUCAAUGCUGUUUCCUGAAGUGCUUUUGAACUGCAUAAGAAAGAAGUUAAAGGAAAUACAGAGAAGAUGGGAAGAAGGCUGGGCUCAGUGUCAAGGAGAGCUCUAAUGGGCAGGAUGACUAGAUAUCUCCAGAGGUCCUUUACAAAUCCUUCAUGUCUCCUUCUGGCCUUCCUUCCUCAGCCCUGGAGCCUUCAGAAGGGGGAGCUUUUGCCUGUGCUGCCAAGAAGCCCAUAAUCAUUUCCAUGCCCAGCUGCAGG